rfam:Felis catus isolate Cinnamon breed Abyssinian chromosome A1, whole genome shotgun sequence.
GCCUGGGUGGCUCAGUCGGUUGAGUGUCUGACUUCCACUCAGGGCAUGAUCUCACAGUUUGUGAGUUCAAGCCCUACAUUGGGCU